rnacentral:rRNA from 1 species
CAAAGGUGAGCCAGUACAGGAUGGACCCGCGUCUGAUUAGCUAGUUGGUAAGGUAACGGCUUACCAAGGCGACGAUCAGUAGCCGACCUGAGAGGGUGAUCGGCCACAUUGGAACUGAGACACGGUCCAAACUCCUACGGGAGGCAGCAGUGGGGAAUAUUGCACAAUGGGCGAAAGCCUGAUGCAGCAACGCCGCGUGAGUGAUGAAGGCCUUCGGGUCGUAAAACUCUGUCCUCAAGGAAGAUAAUGACGGUACUUGAGGAGGAAGCCCCGGCUAACUACGUGCCAGCAGCCGCGGUAAUACGUAGGGGGCUAGCGUUAUCCGGAUUUACUGGGCGUAAAGGGUGCGUAGGCGGUCUUUCAAGUCAGGAGUGAAAGGCUACGGCUCAACCGUAGUAAGCUCUUGAAACUGGGAGACUUGAGUGCAGGAGAGGAGAGUGGAAUUCCUAGUGUAGCGGUGAAAUGCGUAGAUAUUAGGAGGAACACCAGUUGCGAAGGCGGCUCUCUGGACUGUAACUGACGCUGAGGCACGAAAGCGUGGGGAGCAAACAGGAUUAGGUACCCUGGUAGUCCACGCUGUAAACGAUGAGUACUAGGUGUCGGGGGUUACCCCCUUCGGUGCCGC